GCAAGAGAGACAGUGAAGAGACAGGGAAAUAGAUUCAUUCUGGUCCUAUGCGGAAGCCAAGGGGUCAACCUGUGGAGCUCUGUCUCUAGGGAGUACUGCCAUGGCCUUCAAGUGAGGUGAAGAUUACCAGCUUCAAAAGAACACUCCUAAAAUGAUUGGCGUGAUUGGCAUGCUUAUGUUCGGAGCUGAGGAACAGUCUGACCCAGUUUUAAGCUUCCUUUACCCAGAGUGCUUUAAGCAAACACACUGUGAGUGUUCCCUAUGGCCUAACUCAUCCAUCAUGGUGGCACCGUCAGCUGUACCACGCUUCUCCAGUUCCAGAACUUGCUCUGCUACCAGUUCCCAAUUCCCAUUCAACACUCAGGAACAUCUCUAACCCCAAGGGAAUGCGCUUGGCUUCAGGAGCACGAGAAGAAUGAUCUACAGCAUCUGAUAAAGUGGCUCCUGAGUAAUUCACCGUCUAAAAGCCACUUACAGCUAAGCUGUUUACAACGGAAAAGUUGUUUGCUUCCACUCUGCAAUAAAACAACCAAAGAAUC